ACGUGAGGCUCAAUUGGGCCCUCGGACAAGUAAUUGUCAUGAGUGCACUUGGCUAUAUCGGUGAAACCUAAACUAGACAUUUAGCAAGGCAACGCCGAGGAAAGAUCCGCGACAAAGAUCGGGAAAUCCGUAGAGACUAUACGCCAAGCACCCCGGUAAAAACCGAGGGUGAAGACAUAGUCCGACACUUUGGGAAACCAAAGA
rnacentral:ncRNA from 1 species